ACCCUGUGGGGAUGUGAGGAAAAGCGCUUCGGCGCUGCUCGAGGAUGAGCCUGCGGCUGAUUAGUUAGUUGGUGGGGUAACGGCCUACCAAGGCGACGAUCAGUAGCCGGCCUGAGAGGGUGAGCGGCCACACUGGGACUGAGAUACGGCCCAGACUCCUACGGGAGGCAGCAGCUAAGAAUCUUCUACAAUGGACGAAAGUCUGAUAGAGCGACGCCGCGUGGGUGAUGAAGGCCGGAAGGUUGUAAAGCCCUUUUCUAUUCGAGGAAUAAGGUGUGGAGGCAAUGCCACACUGAUGACGGUAGGGUAGGAAUAAGCCCCGGCCAAUUACGUGCCAGCAGCCGCGGUAACACGUAUGGGGCGAGCGUUGUUCGGAAUCAUUGGGCGUAAAGGGCGCGUAGGCGGAUAUGCAAGCUUGGUGUGAAAGACCGCAGCUCAACUGCGGGAGCGCGCUGAGAACUGCAUAUCUUGAGUUCAAGAGGGGAAGCUGGAAUUCCAGGUGUAGGGGUGAAAUCUGUAGAUAUCUGGAAGAACAUCAGUGGCGAAGGCGAGCUUCUGGCUUUGAACUGACGCUGAGGCGCGAAAGCGUGGGGAGCGAACAGGAUUAGAUACCCUGGUAGUCCACGCUGUAAACGAUGUGCAUAGUUUGGCCUUGAAGGCUCAGUCCGUAGUAACGCGUUAAUGCCCCUGGGGAGUAUGUGCAAGAUGAACUCAAAGGAAUUGACGGGGCCGCACAACGUGGAGCAUGUGUUUAAUUGAUGAUACGCGAGGCUUACCAGGGCUAAUAUACAGGAAGGCAUGAGAGUGCCACCUUGGGGUCGUAUACAGGUGCUGCAUGCGUGCGCUCGUCCGAGUUGGUAAGUCCCGCACGAGCGCACCCCUGUUGUCUGUUGCCAGCAUUUCGGAUGGGGACUCAGACAAGACUGCCGGUGACAAACCGGAGGAAGGUGGGGACGACGUCAAGUCAUCAGGCCC
rnacentral:rRNA from 1 species